rnacentral:rRNA from 1 species
UACGUAGGUGGCGAGCGUUGUCCGGAAUUACUGGGCGUAAAGGGAGCGUAGGCGGUUUUUUAAGUGGGAUGUGAAAUCCCCGGGCUUAACCUGGGAAUGGCAUUCCAAACUGGGAGACUAGAGUGCAGGAGAGGAAAGUGGAAUUCCAAGUGUAGCGGUGAAAUGCGUAGAGAUUUGGAGGAACACCAGUGGCGAAGGCGACUUUCUGGACUGAUACUGACGCUGAGGCUCGAGAGCGUGGGGAGCAAACAGG